rnacentral:lncRNA from 1 species
UUUGGGUAAAAAUUGCCAUUUUUGGAAUCAUUGGGGGCGAAUUUGGGUCAAAAAAUGCCAUUUUGGGGUCAUGGGGGCCAUUUUGGGGUGGAAAAUGCCAUUUUUGGGGUCAUGGGGAGCCAUUUUGGGGUGGAAAAUGGCAUUUUGGGAUCAUUGGGGGCCGUUUUGGGGUGGAAAAUGCCGUUUGGGGGUCAUUGGGCACCAUUUUAGGUUGAAAAAUGCCAUUUUGGGGUCAUUGGGAGCCACUUUGGGUCAAAAAAUCCCAUUUUGGUGCCAUUUUGGGAGCAUUUGGAGUCAAUGGGUGCCACUUUGGGUCAAAAAAUGCCAUUUUGGGGUCAUUGGGAGCCAUUUUGGGGUCAUUUGGGGUGAAAAAUGCCAUUUUAGGGUCAUUGGGUGCCACUUUGGGUCAAAAAAUGCCAUUUUGGGGUCAUUGGGAGCCAUUUUAGGUUGAAAAAUGCCAUUUUGGGGUCAGUGGGCGCCAUUUUGUGUCAGAAAUCCCCCUUUUGGGGUCAUCGGGUGCCAUUUUGGGAUGAAAAACGCCAUUUUGGGGCCACUGGUUGCCACUGUGGGUCAGGAAAUGCCCCUCGGGGGCCACAUUGCCCCGAUUUUGGGGUAAAAAAGGCCGAUUUUGGUGCAUUCUGCCCUCAGAGCUCCGGUGCCCACAGAGUUUGACUUCGAGGACGAACCCACGGCGCCUCGCAGCGCCCUGAUGGAGCGCCGCCGCACCCCAGGUCCCACAGAUUUGGGUCAAAUUCCCCCGGAUUUGGGUUUCUCUCUUGUUUGGGGUCGUUUCUGCCCUUUUUGGGGUCGUUUCUGCCUCUUUUUGGGGCCGUUUCUGCCUCUUUUUGGGGUCGUUUCUGCCCUUUUUGGGGCCGUUUCUGCCUCUUUUUGGGGUCGUUUCUGCCUCUUUUUGGGGUCGUUUCUGCCUCUUUUGGGGCCAGUUUUGGGCCAAAUUCCCCCCAAUUUGGGUUUCUCUCUUUUUUGAGGGCUGUCUCUGCCUCUUUU